GGGGGGGGGGGGGGGGGGGGCGGGCGCGGGGAGGGCGGGGGGCAGCGCAGUAAGAGCGUGCUCGGACGGGUGGCGAGUGGCGGACGGGUGGGGAAUACAUCGGAAUCUACUUUUUCGUGGGGGAUAGCGUAGGGAAACUUACGCUAAUACCGCAUACGACCUACGGGUGAAAGCAGGGGAUCUUCGGACCUUGCGCGAUUGAAUGAGCCGAUGUCGGAUUAGCUAGUUGGCGGGGUAAAGGCCCACCAAGGCGACGAUCCGUAGCUGGUCUGAGAGGAUGAUCAGCCACACUGGAACUGAGACACGGUCCAGACUCCUACGGGAGGCAGCAGUGGGGAAUAUUGGACAAUGGGCGCAAGCCUGAUCCAGCCAUACCGCGUGGGUGAAGAAGGCCUUCGGGUUGUAAAGCCCUUUUGUUGGGAAAGAAAAGCAGCAGGUUAAUACCCCGCUGUUCUGACGGUACCCAAAGAAUAAGCACCGGCUAACUUCGUG
rnacentral:rRNA from 1 species